GAGGGUAUAGCUUAAGGGGUAGAGCACACGCUUAGCAUGCAUGAGGCCCUGGUACUGGGUUCAAUCCCCAGUACCUCCU
rnacentral:tRNA from 1 species